GUCUCGAUAGCUCAGUGGUGUAAGACCCCAGAAAUCCCAACUUCGGCUUCCAUCAACUCUAAUUCAGCAACAGAGAGCGGAAGAUUGCAGUACCGCAACAUAUCUUCAGGUCAGGUGUUCGAACCACCUUCGGGACU